rnacentral:rRNA from 1 species
UACGUAAGGUGCAAGCGUUAAUCGGAAUUACUGGGCGUAAAGCGUGCGCAGGCGGUUUUGUACGUCUGUCGUGAAAUCCCCGGGCUCAACCUGGGAAUUGCGAUGGAGACUGCAAGGCUAGAAUCUGGCAGAGGGGGGUAGAAUUCCACGUGUAGCAGUGAAAUGCGUAGAGAUGUGGAGGAACACCGAUGGCGAAGGCAGCCCCCUGGGUCAAGAUUGACGCUCAUGCACGAAAGCGUGGGGAGCAAACAGG